GAUGAAGAACGCAGCGAAAUGCGAUAAGUAAUGUUAAUUGCAGAAUUCAGUGAAUCAUCGAAUCUUUGAACGCACAUUGCGCCCCCUGGCAUUCCGGGGGGCAUGCCUGUUCGAGCGUCAUUACAACCCUCAAGCUCUGCUUGGUAUUGGGCUCUGCUGGGACCGGCAGGCCUUAAAAUCAGUGGCGGCGCCACUCGGCUUCAAGCGUAGUAAUUCUUCUCGCUUCGGAGACCCGGGUGCGUGCUAGCCAGCAACCCCCAACUUUCUUAGGUUGACCUCGGAUCAGGUAGGGAUACCCGCUGAACUUAAGCAUAUCAAUAAGCGGAGGA
rnacentral:misc_RNA from 1 species